rnacentral:rRNA from 1 species
AGACCGUUCUCUUCAGAGGCCGGUCAUUGGAAUGGGUACAAUUUAAACCCUUUAACGAGUAUCUAUGAGAGGGCAAGUCUGGUGCCAGCAGCCGCGGUAAUUCCAGCUCUCAAAAUGCAUAGAAUCAUUGCUGCGGUUAAAAAGCUCGUAGUUGGAUCUGUGCUGGCGGGUCGGUCCACCUUCGGGUGCGCACUGAUUUCGCCGGCUUUCCUGCUGUAUUUGGCCCUGUGCCUUUCAACGGGUGCAGUGUCCAGUGCAGCAAGUUUACCUUGAACAAAUCAGAGUGCUUCAAACAGGCGUUUCGCUUGAAUGUUCGUGCAUGGAAUAAUAGAAGAGGAUUUCGGUUCUAUUUUAUUGGUUUUAUAGACUGAGAUAAUGGUUAACAGAGACUAACGGGGGCAUUAGUAUUGCUACGUGAGAGGUGAAAUUCUUGGACCGUAGCAAGACUGACUACAGCGAAAGCAUUUGCCAAGAAAGUCUUCAUUAAUCAAGAACGAAAGUCAGAGGUUCGAAGGCGAUCAGAUACCGCCCUAGUUCUGACCGUAAACGAUGCCGACUAGUGAUCCGCCGGUGGAACAUUCGCCCUGGUGGGGAACUUCCCGGAAACGAAAGUCUUCCGGUUCCGGGGGAAGUAUGGUUGCAAAGCUGAAACUUAAAGGAAUUGAUGGAAGGGCACCGCCAGGAGUGGAGCCUGCGGCUUAAUUUGACCCAACACGGGAAAACUCACCCGGCCCGGACACCGUAAGGAUUGACAGAUUGAUAGCUCUUUCAUGAUUCGGUGGAUGGUGGUGCAUGGCCGUUCUUAGUUCGUGGAGCGAUUUGUCUGGUUUAUUCCGAUAACGAGCGAGACUCUGGCCUACUAAAUAGUUUACACAUUGCUUCUGUGUGCAUAACUUCUUAGAGGGAUUUUCGGUGUUCAGCCGCAAGAAAUUGAGCAAUAACAGGUCUGUGAUGCCCUUAGAUGUCCGGGGCUGCACGCGCGCUACACUGGCAAAAUCAGCGUGCUUGUCCUUCCCCGAAAGGGGUUGGUAAACUCGUGAAAAUUUGCCGUGAUUGGGAUCGGAAAUUGCAAUUAUUUUCCGUGAACGAGGAAUUCCAAGUAAGUGCGAGUCAUCAACUCGCGUUGAUUACGUCCCUGCCCUUUGUACACACCGCCCGUCGCUGCCCGGGACUGAGCCGUUUCGAGAAACUUGGAGACCGCUGAUCUGGUAACUUCGAUUGCCAUUUUGGUGGGAACCAAUUUAA